AGUGAACGCUGGCGGUAGGCCUAACACAUGCAAGUCGAACGGCAGCACAGGAGAGCUUGCUCUCUGGGUGGCGAGUGGCGGACGGGUGAGGAAUACAUCGGAAUCUACUCUGUCGUGGGGGAUAACGUAGGGAAACUUACGCUAAUACCGCAUACGACCUACGGGUGAAUGCAGGGGACCUUCGGGCCUUGCGCGAUUGAAUGAGCCGAUGUCGGAUUAGCUAGUUGGCGGGGUAAAGGCCCACCAAGGCGACGAUCCGUAGCUGGUCUGAGAGGAUGAUCAGCCACACUGGAACUGAGACACGGUCCAGACUCCUACGGGAGGCAGCAGUGGGGAAUAUUGGACAAUGGGCGCAAGCCUGAUCCAGCCAUACCGCGUGGGUGAAGAAGGCCUUCGGGUUGUAAAGCCCUUUUGUUGGGAAAGAAAUCCAGCUGGCUAAUAUCCGGUUGGGAUGACGGUACCCAAAGAAUAAGCACCGGCUAACUUCGUGCCAGCCGCCGCGGUAA
rnacentral:rRNA from 1 species